rnacentral:rRNA from 1 species
AAACCGCCCAGAGGUAAACGGGUGGAUCCGCAAAGUCGGCCCGCGGAAUUCAGCGCGGCGCGCAGACCUGGACUGCAGUGGAUCGGGAUCCCUGGGACCCAUCCGCGGUGUCACACGGGUCUCCGCCGCGUGCACUUUCCGCGGGCAGAGAGCCACAACCGGCCGGGCGGCGGCCAAAAGCCCCGAGGGCUGCAGGUGGGGGCGCCUGCGUCCCCACCAGCCCUCGGUUGCCAGCCGCUGUCCUGACCGAGGGAACGCCGCGCGCCUCGAGGCCACCCUCCCCUCCGGGUGAGUUCGACUGGGAGAGACUGGGCAACCGUGUCUCCCGACUGCUCAUCCGCGAUCGGCGUGGGGCUGGCCGGGCGCGCACCAUGGUUGGUGGCAAGUCUGUCGGCAGUCCACCCGACCCGUCUUGAA